rnacentral:rRNA from 1 species
UUUUAAAUGGCCGCAGUAUUUUGACUGUGCAAAGGUAGCAUAAUCAUUAGUUUUUUAAUUAAAAGCUUGUAUGAAAGGCUGGACGAGGUAAAAUCUGUCUCUAUUUAAAUUAUAGUAGAAUUUAACUUUUAAGUUAAAAGGCUUAAAUAUUAUUAAAAGACGAGAAGACCCUAUAGAUCUUUAUAAUUUAUUAAAUAAAGUUAAUUUAGAAUUAUUUAUAUUUUAUUUUAUUAAAUUAUUUUAUUGGGGUAAUAGAAAGAUUGAAUUAAUUCUUUUUUAUUAUAAACAUUAAUUUAUGAAUGUUAAUGAUCCAGUUUUAUUGAUUAUAAGAUUAAGUUACCUUAGGGAUAACAGCGUAAUUUUCUUAGAGAGUUCAUAUCGAUAAGAAAGUUUGCGACCUCGAUGUUGGAUUAAAGAUUAUUUUAGGUGCAGAAGCUUAAUAAUUUUGGUCUGUUCGACCAUUAAAUCUUUACAUGAUCUGAGUUCAGACCGGCGUAAGCCAGGUCGGUUUCUAUCUUUAAUAAAAUAAAAUAUUUUAGUACGAAAGGACCAAAUAUUUGAUAUAUUUAUAUUUAAUUAAUUGAAUAUUA